GGAGAGGUGGCCGAGUGGUUGAAGGCGCACGGCUGGAAUCCGUGUUGGCGGGGCAACCCGUCACGGGGGUUCGAAUCCCCCCCUCUCCG
rnacentral:tRNA from 1 species